UCUGGGGAGAGAGAGGAGGGGGUCCCUGCCUCUAAAAUGAGUCUGUCUGGGGAGAGAGAGGAGGGGGUCCCUCGCUCUAAAAUGAAUCUCUCUUGGGAACAUGACACCAAAGCUAAGAGCCCAAUCAAGCAGGAGAGACCAGCCUCCCCUGUACCCAGCUGUGUGUCCAUGAAGAGUGACCAGUCUAUGCAUCCACCUAUAUUCUUUAGAGAGGGAGACUUUUCUAGUGAACAAAGAAACCAACAGGAGAGAUCAGAGUCAGAGAUUG